rnacentral:rRNA from 1 species
AGUGAACGCUGGCGGUAGGCCUAACACAUGCAAGUCGAACGGCAGCACAGUAAGAGCUUGCUCUUACGGGUGGCGCGUGGCGGACGGGUGAGGAAUACAUCGGAAUCUACUUUUUCGUGGGGGCUAACGUAGGGAAACUUACGCUAAUACCGCAUACUACCUACGGGUGAAAGCAUGGGAUCUUCGGACCUUGCGCGAUUGAAUGAGCCGAUGUCGGAUUAGCUAGUUGGCGGGGUAAAGGCCCACCAAGGCGACGAUCCGUAGCUGGUCUGAGAGGAUGAUCAGACACACUGGAAGUGAGACACGGUCCAGACUCCUACGGGAGGCAGCAGUGGGGAAUAUUGGACAAGGGGCGCAAGCCUGAUCCAGCCAUACCGCGUGGGUGAAGAAGGCCUUCGGGUUGUAAAGCCCUUUUGUUGGGAAAGAAAAGCAGCAGGUUAAUACGCCGCUGUUCUGACGGUACCCAAAGAAUAAGCACCGGCUAACUUCG